UUUCGUAGGUGUUCCUUGCGGAGCGAUCAUUACAGAGUUGCAAAACUCCCAAACCAUCGUGAACGUUACCUACAUCGUUGCUUCGGCGGGUGGCGGGCUUCGGCCCUGCCCUCGGCCCCUCUCGGGGGCCCGCCGGAGGUACACCAAACUCUUGAAUUUACAUGGCCUCUCUGAGUCUUCUGUACUGAAUAAGUCAAAACUUUCAACAACGGAUCUCUUGGUUCUGGCAUCGAUGAAGAACGCAGCGAAAUGCGAUAAGUAAUGUGAAUUGCAGAAUUCAGUGAAUCAUCGAAUCUUUGAACGCACAUUGCGCCCGCCAGUAUUCUGGCGGGCAUGCCUGUCCGAGCGUCAUUUCAACCAUCAAGCCCCCGGCUUGUGUUGGGGACCUGCGGCACACCCGCAGGCCCUGAAAACCAGUGGCGGGCUCGCUGUCCACACCGAGCGUAGUAGCAUAUCUUUGUCUCGCUCAGGGCGUGCGGCGGGUUCCGGCCGUGAAACCCACCUUCUCGAAGGUACCCAAAGGUUGACACUCGGAUCAGGUAGGAAGACCCGCUGAACUAAGUAAAUUU
rnacentral:rRNA from 1 species